rnacentral:rRNA from 1 species
AACGAACGCUGGCGGCAUGCCUAACACAUGCAAGUCGAACGAGACCUUCGGGUCUAGUGGCGCACGGGUGCGUAACGCGUGGGAACCUGCCCUUAGGUUCGGAAUAACUCCCCGAAAGGGGUGCUAAUACCGGAUAAUGUCUUCGGACCAAAGAUUUAUCGCCUUUGGAUGGGCCCGCGUUGGAUUAGCUAGUUGGUAGGGUAAAAGCCUACCAAGGCGACGAUCCAUAGCUGGUCUGAGAGGAUGAUCAGCCACACUGGGACUGAGACACGGCCCAGACUCCUACGGAAGGCAGCAGUGGGGAAUAUUGGACAAUGGGCGAAAGCCUGAGGCAGCAAUGCCGCGUGAGUGAUGAAGGCCUUAGGGUUGUAAAGCUCUUUUACCCGGGAUGAUAAUGACAGUACCGGGAGAAUAAGCUCCGGCUAACUCCGU